GACGAACGCUGGCGGCGUGCUUAACACAUGCAAGUCGAGCGAGGCCCUCCUUCGGGAGGUGUCCUAGCGGCGAACGGGUGAGUAACACGUGGGCAACCUGCCCUCAGCUCUGGGAUAACUCCAAGAAAUUGGGGCUAAUACCGGAUACGACCGCUGACCGCAUGGUCUGGUGGUGGAAAGAUUUAUCGGCUGGGGGAGGGCCGGCGGCCUGUCAGCUUGUUGGUGGGGUAGUGGCCUACCAAGGCGACGACGGGUAGCCGGCCGGGGCGGGUGACCGGCCACACGGGGACUGAGACACGACCCAGACUCCUACGGGAGGCAGCAGUGGGGAAUAUUGCGCAAUGGGCGGAAGCCUGACGCAGCGACGCCGCGUGGGGGAUGACGGCCUUCGGGUUGUAAACCUCUUUCAGCAGGGAAGAAGCGAAAGUGACGGUACCUGCAGAAGAAGCACCGGCUAACUACGUGCCAGCCGCCGCCGUAACAC
rnacentral:rRNA from 1 species